rnacentral:rRNA from 1 species
AACGAACGCUGGCGGCGUGGAUUAGGCAUGCAAGUCGAACGGACACUUAGCUUUUUCGAGUGUUAGUGGCGAAAGGGUGAGUAACACGUGGGUUACCUGCCCUAGGGUUCGGGAUAACUUGUCGAAAGACGGGCUAAUACCGGAUACGUUCUUAUUCUUUAACUGGAGUAAGAGGAAAGAUGGGGACCUCGCAAGAGGCCUGUCACCCUUGGUUGGGCCCGCGGCCUAUCAGCUAGUUGGUGAGGUAAUGGCUCACCAAGGCUAAGACGGGUAGCUGGUCUGAGAGGAUGGUCAGCCACACUGGGACUGAGACACUGCCCAGACUCCUACGGGAGGCAGCAGUGGGGAAUCUUGCGCAAUGGGCGAAAGCCUGACGCAGC